GAUGCGUGUCCUUAACAGAAACAGGUUCGGGCGGAAUCUGGAGGUUGAAAAGCGGAUGCAAUUUCCGGCACGUAUC
ncrna:unclassified sequences RAGATH-21 RNA